UUGACCUUGAAACAGAUUGAACGCUGGCGGCAUGCCUUACACAUGCAAGUCGAACGGCAGCACGGGUGCUUGCACCUGGUGGCGAGUGGCGAACGGGUGAGUAAUACAUCGGAACAUGUCCUGUAGUGGGGGAUAGCCCGGCGAAAGCCGGAUUAAUACCGCAUACGAUCUACGGAUGAAAGCGGGGGACCUUCGGGCCUCGCGCUAUAGGGUUGGCCGAUGGCUGAUUAGCUAGUUGGUGGGGUAAAGGCCUACCAAGGCGACGAUCAGUAGCUGGUCUGAGAGGACGACCAGCCACACUGGGACUUAUACACGGCCCAGACUCCUACGGGAGGCAGCAGUGGGGAAUUUUGGACAAUGGGCGAAAGCCUGAUCCAGCAAUGCCGCGUGUGUGAAGAAGGCCUUCGGGUUGUAAAGCACUUUUGUCCGGAAAGAAAUCCUUGGCUCUAAUACAGUCGGGGGAUGACGGUACCGGAAGAAUAAGCACCGGCUAACUACGUGCCAGCAGCCGCGGUAAUACGUAGGGUGCGAGCGUUAAUCGGAAUUACUGGGCGUAAAGCGUGCGCAGGCGGUUUGCUAAGACCGAUGUNGAAUCCCCGGGCUCAACCUGGGAACUGCAUUGGUGACUGGCAGGCUAGAGUAUGGCAGAGGGGGGUAGAAUUCCACGUGUAGCAGUGAAAUGCGUAGAGAUGUGAAGGAUUACGAAUGGCGAAAGCCGCCCCCCUGGGCCCAUAACUGACCUCAUGCACGAAAGCGGGGGAAGAAAACAGGAUUAGAUACCCUGGUAGUCCCCCCCCUAAACGAUGUCAACUAGUUGUUGGGGAUUCAUUUCCCUUAGUAACGUAGCUAACGCGUGAAGUUGACCGCCUGGGGAGUACGGUCGCGAGAUUAAAACUCAAAGGAAUUGACGGGGACCCGCACAAGCGGUGGAUGAUGUGGAUUAAUUCGAUGCAACGCGAAAAACCUUACCUACCCUUGACAUGGUCGGAAUCCCGCUGAGAGGUGGGAGUGCUCGAAAGAGAACCGGCGCACAGGUGCUGCAUGGCUGUCGUCAGCUCGUGUCGUGAGAUGUUGGGUUAAGUCCCGCAACGAGCGCAACCCUUGUCCUUAGUUGCUACGCAAGAGCACUCUAAGGAGACUGCCGGUGACAAACCGGAGGAAGGUGGGGAUGACGUCAAGUCCUCAUGGCCCUUAUGGGUAGGGCUUCACACGUCAUACAAUGGUCGGAACAGAGGGUUGCCAACCCGCGAGGGGGGGCUAAUCCCAGAAAACCGAUCGUAGUCCGGAUUGCACUCUGCAACUCGAGUGCAUGAAGCUGGAAUCGCUAGUAAUCGCGGAUCAGCAUGCCGCGGUGAAUACGUUCCCGGGUCUUGUACACACCGCCCGUCACACCAUGGGAGUGGGUUUUACCAGAAGUGGCUAGUCUAACCGCAAGGAGGACGGUCACCACGGUAGGAUUCAUGACUGGGGUGAAGUCGUAACAAGGUA
rnacentral:rRNA from 1 species